GCUGGGUGUGGUGAUGCAUACCUGUAAUCCCAGUGAUUUGGGAGGCUGAGACAGGAGGAUUCAAAGUUUGAGACCAGUCUCAA
rnacentral:sRNA from 1 species